rnacentral:lncRNA from 1 species
AUGAAUUAACAUUAAGCAAGAGAAUUUGAGCAAACUCAAAAGAUGGAGACAUCAUAACCAUCGAAUUUGGAAAAGAAAAUGCCAAUGAAGCCGUGAACACAUCCCCUGAAAUUUGCAUGCUAAGUUCAAUACAUCAAUAUCACAUAUGUUGUAAUAUAACAAUAAAUAUAGCGUUGGCAACGGGUCGAGUCCGGCUUGACUUGGACCUAGACCCAAAUAGCAUUCUGGUCUAGAUUUUGGACGGAGACCCAACCUUUUGGGUACAAAAUUUGGACCCAUACUAAGAUUCGAGAUCUGUUCUACUUGUCAAGUCUUGCGUUUGGUGGUUCCAUUGCCAUCGCUAUUGUUUAUGUGAGAUACGUGUGUUAUGACUAUGAACUCCUUUUAUUUUUUUUCCCAACAUAUACCCCAUGUUAUUGGCAAUAUAUAUAGUGAAUACCCACAUUUCUCACUACUUUAUGUAAUUCCUAAGAAACAAAUGUGUUGGCAGCAUUUAUGAAUACCCAUAUACACCCAUAUUCAUCGGGUCCAAGUUUUGGACCGGACCCGACCUUUUGGAUUCAAAAUUUGGA